GGAGUUGUAGCUUAGUAGUAGAGCGCUUGCCUUGUAAGGCACUGAGUUCGAUUCUCAGCACCA
rnacentral:tRNA from 1 species